rnacentral:rRNA from 1 species
AACGAACGCUGGCGGCAUGCUUUACACAUGCAAGUCGAACGGUAACAGGCCGCAAGGUGCUGACGAGUGGCGAACGGGUGAGUAAUGCAUCGGAACGUGCCCAGUCGUGGGGGAUAACGCAGCGAAAGCUGUGCUAAUACCGCAUACGAUCUGUGGAUGAAAGCGGGGGACCGAAAGGCCUCGCGCGAUUGGAGCGGCCGAUGUCAGAUUAGGUAGUUGGUGGGGUAAAGGCUCACCAAGCCAACGAUCUGUAGCUGGUCUGAGAGGACGACCAGCCACACUGGGACUGAGACACGGCCCAGACUCCUACGGGAGGCAGCAGUGGGGAAUUUUGGACAAUGGGCGCAAGCCUGAUUCAGCAAUGCCGCGUGCAGGAAGAAGGCCUUCGGGUUGUAAACUGCUUUUGUACGGAGCGAAAAGGCUCUCUCUAAUACAGGGGGCUCAUGACGGUACCGUAAGAAUAAGCACCGGCUAACUACGUGCCAGCCGCCGCGGUAAGAC